CCUACGGGAGGCAGCAGUCAAGAAUCAUUCACAAUGGGGGAAACCCUGAUGGUGCGACGCCGCGUGGGGGAAUGAAGGUCUUCGGAUUGUAAACCCCUGUCAUGUGGGAGCAAAUUAAAAAGAUAGUACCACAAGAGGAAGAGACGGCUAACUCUGUGCCAGCAGCCGCGGGAAUACAGAGGUCUCAAGCGUUGUUCGGAAUCACUGGGCGUAAAGCGUGCGUAGGCUGUUUCGUAAGUCGUGUGUGAAAGGCGCGGGCUCAACCCGCGGACGGCACAUGAUACUGCGAGACUAGAGUAAUGGAGGGGGAACCGGAAUGCUCGGUGUAGCAGUGAAAUGCGUAGAUAUCGAGAGGAACACUCGUGGCGAAGGCGGGUUCCUGGACAUUAACUGACGCUGAGGCACGAAGGCCAGGGGAGCGAAAGGGAUUAGAUACCCCGGUAGUC
rnacentral:rRNA from 1 species